rnacentral:lncRNA from 1 species
UGGAACUAGGGAAUCGGGAAAGUGAGGACAUGCCUCGCAAUAACAGGCUGACGCGUCUAAGUUUAUAAUUUAGGAGAUAUCUUUAGGUGUCAGCUAGAUUGGACCUUGAUUAUGUCUCCUUUUAUAGAAGGGAAACUGAGACUCAGAGCCCAUUUAGGGGCUAUAGAGCAAGAGAAAGGAAGCACGUGUUCUAGAAAUUAGUAUCUUUUGCUUGUGCCUCUCUGCAAAGCUACCUUGAAAAUUAAGAGAAAAGACCAUAGCAUAUGUGAAUACCUGGGUUCAGUCUCCAUCGCGCCUGUGCAUGCGCGUGCGCACACACACACACAGAAAAGUGGGGGAUAGGCAUGCUGUGUUUCUAACUAUCCAAUUAUUUAGAUCACUGGGAAUGGUUAGAACGCUGGAAAUGGCUCCUGGUGGUGAAAGAGCACAGCUCUGCAGCUCUCGGACCUGAGGAACACAAACAAA